GACGAACGCUGGCGGCGUGCUUAACACAUGCAAGUCGAACGGAAAGGCCCUGCUCUUGUGGGGUGCUCGAGUGGCGAACGGGUGAGUGUCACGUGUGUAUCCUGCCCUUGUCUUUGGGAUAUCUUCAGGAAACUGGGGCUAAUACCGGAUAGGAGCUCCUGCUGCAUGGUGGGGGAUGGAAAGUUUCGGCGGUUGGGGAUGGACUCGCGGCUUAUCAGCUUGUUGGUGGGGUAGUGGCUUACCAAGGCUUUGACGGGUAGCCGGCCUGAGAGGGUGAACGGGCACAAUGGGACUGAGAUACGGAGCAGACGCCUACGGUAGGCAGCAGUGGGGAAUAUUGCACAAUGGGCGGAAGCCUGAGGCAGCGACGCCGCGUGCGGGAUGACGGCCUUCGGGUUGUAAACCGCUGUCGCAUGUGACGAAGCGUGAGUGACGGUAAUGAGUAAAGAAGCACCGGCUAACUACGUG
rnacentral:rRNA from 1 species